AGUGAACGCUGGCGGUAGGCCUAACACAUGCAAGUCGAACGGCAGCACAGUAAGAGCUUGCUCUUACGGUUGGCGAGUGGCGGACGGGUGAGGAAUACAUCGGAAUCUACUUUUUCGUGGGGGAUAACGUAGGGAAACUUACGCUAAUACCGCAUACGACCUACGGGUGAAAGCAGGGGAUCUUCGGACCUUGCGCGAUUGAAUGAGCUGAUGUCGGAUUAGCUAGUUGGCGGGGUAAAGGCACACCAAGGCGACGAUCCGUAGCUGGUCUGAGAGGAUGAUCGGGCCCACUGGAACUUGGACACGGGCCAGACUCCUACGGGAGGCAACAGGGGGGAAUUUUCGGAAAUGGGCGGAAACCCUACGGAACCACGCCCGGGGGGUGAAAAAAGGCUUCGGGUUGUAAAACCCUUUUUUUAGGGAAAAAAAAGCGGGAAAUUAACUACCCGCUUUUUGACGGGACCCAAAAAAAAAACCACGGCUAACUUCGGG
rnacentral:rRNA from 1 species